UCUGAAGCUCAAAUGUAGGGAUUCUAAGUGUGUUAAGAUAAGCCUGGCUAUUUCUCAUCUUGUAUAUUCAUUUUACUAAAUGAUAUCAUCAUCUACAGAGAUGGUCAAGCCAGAAAUGGAGAGUCACAAGUUGCCAAAGUACCUCCACAGUUCACUAACUGUUAAAUCUGAUAGUGCUCUCAAAACUGUGUUUUCCUUUUCAUUCUCUCUGCUUACAUUUUAGUGUGUCUCCUGUUAUUUUAUUCCUGGAUAAAACCUGAUUCUCAAACUUUUUCCUUAACAACUACCAUAAAACACACUACUUAUGGAGCUAGUAAAGCAGUAUUAUAACAUGAAAAUCUGAUCCUAUUAUAACUUUCUCCCCUUA